rnacentral:lncRNA from 1 species
CAGCACUACCACCCCUUAAGCUCAGGGUUUUGCUGUUUAACCCCAUGGGGGUUGUGGUGUUCCUAUUUUUACCCAGAGAGAAAACAAGAGCAAGAAAAGUUAAGGAACAACUUAGUAUUUCUCUCUUAGGUAAGACAAAGAAAUCUGCUGUCUCAUCUCCAAAAAUCCCAGUGAAUAUUAUUUUGCCAAGAAACGGAGGGAGACCUGCUUGCAUGAGCACAUGUGAACACACGAUGACGAUAAGUCCUGCUUUAAAACAUCUGAAGAAACUGCAGAGCAAUGGCCUCAUUCUGCUAUGGCCAAGGCCGCCUUCAAGACCACCUGUAAGAGCACCCUAUUUAAGCCAAAUGUGUUGAUUAUUUUUAGCAUAACUUAAGCCCCAGGAGACUAAUGAGGUGUUAACAGUGUGUGUUAA